CAUUCAGAAAAAUGAACAGUUCUUUGCACCGAAGUGAAUGAAACGGGUAAUGUUUGAAGCAUUUUCAACAUAUCCUCAAACUGUUGAAUGGCUUAACACGCAUAAAUGGAGUUUUGCGUUGAAUGUGAGUGCCAAGUAGGCUACUAUUGGUGAUCAGAUCUAACAGUGUGAGAUGAAGGAAACAUUAUAGUUAAAUAGCCUGAUACCAUGCUUAUGAAAUGCUCCAAUUGAUCCUGGUUUCUCGAGCCAACAGGACUUCGAUCAUGAGAGUCAUAAACCUGGGAGGAGUGUUUCACAACGCACCUGCUGAAUCAACCAGUCCUGAAAAUGCAAGGUGUUCAAGCGCUGAACCUAUAACGUGAUAUUGCUGCAAACUGAGACUAAGAAGGGUGAAGGCAACCUGCACUUAGUCUAGUUAUGGUGUAGCGGCAACAGAUAGAAGGGUCUCUGUAGCUAGCGGAGAACCUCAGUCAUGAGUUUUGGUGAAGGCGACACAGUC
rnacentral:ncRNA from 1 species